rnacentral:lncRNA from 13 species
CAGAAAGAAAGUGUCCUCUAUGUAUCCUACAGCAUCUGAGUGUCACCCACAUAGUCUGCAAGGAAAGAACACAGUAGACGUUCCAAAAGCUAAGUCAAGCUGACCACAUUUGUUCUUACAUCAUAAUCACUGAAUCAAAGAGAAAAUUCCAUAAAAGCAUAACUGAGAACUAGAACCAAAUUUGGAAGACAGGAGACAACAAAACGUGCAUCAAACUGGAGGACAAGGCAGAGGCAUGAAUACAUUAUACAAGGAAAGAUAUGGUUGGAGGGCAGCAGUCCUUUCAAAUAUAUUCAGCCCCAUGAGACUUGAAGGAAAUCAGAGUGUGGGUGACAUGUACACACAGUCGUGAGAAAGGCCCUGCCCACCAUCAUCAGCCACAGUCUGUGUCUACCAGCAUAAGAUAAUAGACUACAGGAACAUCAGCAGAAUAGGAAAAUGGAUGUGGCAUCUCUCCACCUUCAAUAUUAGGAGAGGCACUCCCUCUCUCCUUGGGUUAAUAAAGAAGCUGGAUUAGGAGAAACGAAGAGGAAG